GACGAACGCUGGCGGUGUGCUUCACACAUGCAAGUCGAACGAGGUAGCAAUACCUAGUGGCGGACGGGUGAGUAACGCGUGGGAAUCUGCCUUUAGAUGGGGGAUAACGGGUCGAAAGACUCGCUAAUACCGCAUAUGACGAAAGUUGAAAGGAGUAAUCCGUCUAAAGAUGAGCCCGCGUCCGAUUAGCUAGUUGGUAGAGUAAAAGCCUACCAAGGCGACGAUCGGUAGCUGGUCUGAGAGGAUGAUCAGCCACAAUGGGACUAGAGACACGGCCCAUACUCCUACGGAGGCAGCAGUGGGAAUUUACGCAAUGGCGAAAGCCUGACGUAGCGACACCGCGUGAGCGAAGAAGCCCUGGGGUGUAAAGCUCUGUCAGCUGGAACGAAAAAAUGACGGUACCAGCAGAGAAGCAUCGGCUAACUAACGUGCCAGCAGCCGCGGU
rnacentral:rRNA from 1 species